GCCUGGGUGGCUCAGUCAGUUAAGCAUCUGAUUUUGGCUCAGGUCAUGAUCUCACAGUUCAUGGGUUCGAUCCCCACACUGGGCU
rnacentral:tRNA from 1 species